rnacentral:lncRNA from 1 species
CUAUUAUGAUGUCAUGUAGGGAACUUUAGAAGAAUGUUUUGGGUUGUCGAAUGAUGUCAUCCAAUCCAAUAAAAUAAGGAAAAUCUGAGAGUUAAUUAGUGAUGUCACGGUUAAUUUGGAGCAUUGUCAUUCAUAAUUCAAUGAAGUAGUAACUGGAAAUCAAGUUAUUUGCAUGCAUGUCAUGUGUGGAGAAAAAGCCUCUAGCUAUUCCAUCCAUCAUCUUAUUUCUCAAAUUUAUUUUACAAUCUGUCUAAUUUUUCAUACUUGUUUGUUUGUUUCAACUUCAUCCAAAUCAAAACCCCCCUUUUAGUUUCUUGUUUCAAAGUGUUUCAAAUAUGUUUUAGUUUGUGUUUUUAAGUGUUUUGAUUCAAGUAAAAGUCAAUUUUCGUCCAAAGUCAUUCCUAGUGUCUAGUUUAAGUUUAUUUGGUUGUUUUAAGCUGUUUUGAGUAUUUUAAGUUUGCUUUGAGUCUUGAGAGUCUUAUUAAGUGUUUUUAAGUUUAGUUUUAUGUUUUUGAGUCAGUUUAGAGGUUAUUAGCAAGCCCUCCUAAUCCUCGGUCCGGAACGAUCCCUACUUAUACUUGUACUACAAUUGUCAAAAGAGGGUUAAAUUUGUGUGCUUAUAUAUUUCGCAUCAAGUUUUUGGCGCUGUUGCCGGGGAUUAGCAACUUUGCUAAUCCCUUAUUAUUUCUUUUUAUUUUUUUUCAUGUGUUUUUUUUUUCCUAGUUGCUGAUUUUACUUGUUUUCUUGUUUUAGGUUGUGUAUGACUCGAAGUUCUCAACCUGUUCAUAAGCACAUCUUUG